rnacentral:rRNA from 1 species
ACGGGUGAGUAACGCGUGGGAACGUGCCUUCCGGUUCGGAAUAACCCUGGGAAACUAGGGCUAAUACCGGAUACGCCCUUAUGGGGAAAGGUUUACUGCCGGAAGAUCGGCCCGCGUCUGAUUAGCUAGUUGGUGGGGUAACGGCCUACCAAGGCGACGAUCAGUAGCUGGUCUGAGAGGAUGAUCAGCCACACUGGGACUGAGACACGGCCCAGACUCCUACGGGAGGCAGCAGUGGGGAAUAUUGGACAAUGGGCGCAAGCCUGAUCCAGCCAUGCCGCGUGAGUGAUGAAGGCCUUAGGGUUGUAAAGCUCUUCUAUCCGGGACGAUAAUGACGGUACCGGAGGAAUAAGCCCCGGCUAACUUCGUGCCAGCAGCCGCGGUAAUACGAAGGGGGCUAGCGUUGCUCGGAAUCACUGGGCGUAAAGGGCGCGUAGGCGGCGUUUUAAGUCGGGGGUGAAAGCCUGUGGCUCAACCACAGAAUGGCCUUCGAUACUGGGACGCUUGAGUAUGGUAGAGGUUGGUGGAACUGCGAGUGUAGAGGUGAAAUUCGUAGA